CUCGUCAACUCUUUUCCACCUCUGUUCUUAAGGCUCGAAUUGACUUAAGCAUCGGAGGAUCAAAAAUUGGAGGAUCAUCAUCUGAAUUUUUUUACUAAUUUUGCCGAUUGGAGAAAUUUUCACCAGGUCGCAAGAAUCAUUCCAACCUAGUCUCACUUGAUUCGAGUCGCCCUACUUCAAAUUUUAAAACUUGCAGUAAU
rnacentral:lncRNA from 1 species